rnacentral:rRNA from 1 species
UACGGAGGGUGCAAGCGUUAAUCGGAAUCACUGGGCGUAAAGCGCACGUAGGCGGUGUCGUAAGUCGGAUGUGAAAGCCCUCGGCUCAACCGGGGAACUGCAUUCGAUACUGCGAUGCUUGAGUGCCGGAGAGGGUGGCGGAAUUCCAGGUGUAGGAGUGAAAUCCGUAGAUAUCUGGAGGAACACCAGUGGCGAAGGCGGCCACCUGGUCGGCAACUGACGCUGAGGUGCGAAAGCGUGGGGAUCAAACAGGAUUAGAUACCCUGGUAGUCCACGCUGUAAACGAUGGAUGCUAGGUGUCGGGGGUUUACCCUCGGUGCCGCAGUUAACGCGUUAAGCAUCCCGCCUGGGGAGUACGGUCGCAAGGCUGAA